UGUAUAUUUAUUGCAUCAUGAGAACAAUUAAGCAACCGCCAAACAUUAAUAUCACAAAAACUCACACGGAUGAUAACUCACUUGCUAUUCUGGGAAAAUGAAACCAAAAUCAGCUCGUCCAAACCCGACCACAAUAUCACAAUUUCGCCUAAUACUAAGCAAUACGGCAUGAUAUGAUCACGCAUUCGUUCGUUUGAACCAAACCGUGUUUUAACCUUUAAUCUGACAUUGUAAAACACUGACACUCAACGAGUUCCACGGAAAUUCCGACGGCCAUGUAUUGUCAUGUAACCACCCCCGGUUGUCCAAAACAACUAGCAUUGCUACCAUUAGCCUUGGCGACGCAUAGCAAGCCGCUGACAGGGAGAAAAAACUAAGAAAUAUGAGCGGAUAGCGGUGACGUCAACUGAUCUCGUUCGGCGGUGGAGCGCGGCUGCUUAGUUUUCAGUUGGAGCGCCCUCUAUUGGUUGACGGUGGAGGUGACGAGUGACUGCGAGAUCAAGUUGAUUAAUUGGUUGAUAAUUGAUUCAAAUAUUUUUGCACAUUUGUUUUAUUAAUGUACUGUUUUCACUGUCUUUGGUCUUGCAUAAUUUAUAUUUUACUCCAUUUAUAGCACUUUGUUAGCAGUGGUUGUUUUAACUAUACAAAGAUGAGUUGAGUUGAGACCUCUCGGUAUGAAUAAAUUACAAAUAGAAAGGGGGUAGUAGUCCAAGAAUGGCCCAACCUCCUGGUGAUCAUAUAAUCCCAUCCCAUUUGAGAAUUCAAUUCACAAGGAUGUGUGACAUUACCUUUAAUAAUAAAUCCCAGAGAAGCAUGAUACACAGUCCGUCUUUCUCAGACAUUGAUCUGCAGCACUCAUAUAUGAAAGGUCACCAUUAUUUAAAAUGGGUUUGAACAGAAAUGCAAUGAGAAGGUGCUUUUUAACUUCAAAUGAAAAAGAAAACAUUGGAAGAAAAAAAAAAUCCAAUUUUAAUUGAGUUUAAUUUGAGAUUUCAUUUCCCUGAAGGUUAUUGCAAUGUUCAAUUACUGGUGAGCGUUUUACCUCUGACCUGCCUACUGUGAUGCAGACACGCCCUGUUUGAUGCUGUUUUUUUUAAUUUUUUGCACAUCUAAUAAGAUUAAGACUGAAAAACUAAAAUGGCCACAACCCCAUGUGAAUCUAA